CUUCUUUGAACAACCCAGUUCCAAUAGCUGUGAAACAUAAAGAGACAAGCAGGGGAAGAUUUUCCAGAAAGGCUGGUGGCUAGGCACAAGCAAAUUACACCAUUAAUGUCAUCCUGGCGAAUGAAACAAGAGAAUAGUAUUUAUCAGAGAAAGUCUGGUGAGUUGAAGUCCAAGACCCCAGGAAAAAACUAACCCUGCUGGGCUGCCCCUCCUUCGGAGUGGGACUAUGAUCCUCAUCAGGCCAAUCCACGUCACAGAAUGGUCUAGGCAUUGGAUGAGUGCCUCAAUCUGAGCCAAUGAAGGUCAUUGCUGAGACAUUUUACUGGUUGCCAGGCUGCAGGCAUCCCAGGCUUCCUGCUGCCCUCAUGUCUACAACCUGUCGUCUGGAACAUUCCAGGAGCCACUUUUAUCACUUGCAGCAAUCUUCUUCAAAUACCACAGACUGGGCAAUUUAUAAAUGAUGGAAGUUUAUUUGGCUCAUGGUUCUGGAGACUGGGAAGUCCAAGAACAUGGCACUGUCAUCUGCUGUUCAUAAAACCUAGGGGAGAUUUUCUGACCUCACCCUGAAGCAGUUCCUAAGAUCCUCACUUUAGAGAUGCCCUCACUAUAUCCAGAAGAAAGAAGCAUCCGUAUCUCCGAACACAAAACGUCACAGAGAAGAAUCUGAACAAACAGGCCUUGCUAAGUUUCCCUUGGUUUUUUACCAUCAGAUCACACUGUUUUGCCCAAUCAUAUUUCUCCACAACUGUCCACUCUUCACUAAACCUAAGAGAGAUAUAUAUAUAUUUCACUGUUUCUUUGGGUUUUCAUUUCCUUAUGAAGACUCAUGUCACAUAAAACCUACAUUAACUAAAUGUGUCUAAUUUUCUCUGUUAAUCUGUCUUAGGUAAAAGGGACUUCAGCCACGAACCUAGGAAUGGGGAGAUAAAGAUGUUUUUCCUCCCCUACAUGGUGAAGAGAAGAGGGUUUGCUAUCACUCUCCUCCCUACCACGUUUCUCUUUUGGAGGCCUGAGUUCAAAACACUUAUAUAGUCAUCACCUUUGAAAUUAAUUUGAAUUUAAUUUCUUACUGAUUUAAAUGUUUUGGAAGUUUCCAUUUAGAUAAAUCUUUUUCACUGGUGGAAUAUCUAGUGAAGGUUGCAGGGGGAUCUAAUUGAGAACAUUUUCUUAAUGAUUGUACCACUUCAGAAGAAAGAGAAUAUACUUAAAAUACUAAAAAAUUAAAUACUGGAUUUGUUUUUCCAAUGCUGCAAAAUAAUUAGGACUGCAAAGAAAAAGAAAUCUUGAGGAGGACCCUUUCCUCUUUAUUUAAAAGGAAAAAUAAGUCAAUUUCCCAAAGAAACAGAAGCUUAGAUUUUUAUGGGACCCCAGGGUGCUACUAAUACUACCCCAACACUAUUGUUAUACUCCAAUACAACUUACGCCAAUACUUGACACUAAUGUCAGUACAAUAGUCAAAAUUACUAUUAUUUGUAUUCACAUAUUUUAAGCCACACAUAUUUAUUUCAGCAUCAAUGUGUGUUUAGGGCUUCUGUAUCUUCUAGGCCAACACUCUCUCAAGCACAGACUUGAAUCCAGACAGUCUGGCUCCAGGACCCAGGCUCUUAAUAAAUGUACUGUACUGUC